rnacentral:rRNA from 1 species
UACGGGGGGGGCAAGCGUUGUUCGGAAUUACUGGGCGUAAAGGGCUCGUAGGCGGCCAACUAAGUCAGACGUGAAAUCCCCAGGCUCAACCUGGGAACUGCGUCUGAUACUGGAUGGCUUGAAUCCGGGAGAGGGAUGCAGAAUUCCAGGUGUAGCGGUGAAAUGCGUAGAUAUCGUAAGGAAGACCAGUGGCGAAGGCGAGUCUCUGGACAGCAACUGACGCUGAGGCACGAAGGCCAGGGGAGCAAACGGG